UCAUUUUCACACCGUACAUUCCAGCCUCCAUCGUCGUUCCAUACAUGCCAAACAAUCAGAACCCUAAUCUUCUAGCCUCCAUCGUCGUUCUUCACAUUUUGUGCAGAUCGAAGAGUUUCACAAUCACGAAACCCUAGCCCUCAUCAUCUUCCCUGUUUUGAUUCAAAUGUAAACCCUAUAUCGCUCAUCCUCCUCUGCUGAUUCUCUCAUUCAUCGUCCUCAUACUCUCUAUCCUCUAAAGUUCCUAUUAUUGUGUCCCAGUUAUAAAGAUCCGGUUUCAAGCUACGAAGCUUUUCAUUAAUAUUCAGUCUCAAAUCUGAAGGCUUAUUUGAAAGAUUGAAUGCUGGUAUCUGAAUAGAUCUUCAUGUGGCUGAAGAAGAUCGUUUGAUUUGUAGAUGAAGAAGAUCAGUAAAAUGAGGCUUGCUGGAUACAUUGAAACUAUGAGCGAGUGAAGGUUAGUUUGGAUGCAAUGUUCGGGCUGCGGAUAAAAAGAAUUUGUAUGGGUGCACAAAGUUGUUCCUUGGAGAAAUUGCACAAGAUAUUCAAAUUGUAGAGGGAUUUGCUAAGAUGCUUUAUAUACAACAAAUAGUUGUUGUUGGUAGAUUACCAAAGUUGAAUGUAUAUUAUCUCACAAAAGAUAGAUGGCACUGGAUGUAUGAAGGAUGAGGCCGAGAGCGAAGCUAUUUCGGGGAUCGGGAGUUGAAUGGUUCGAGAACCAAGAAUCGUGGUUCAAACCACCAGAGUGAUAUUGAUGUUCUUAGUGGGUUUAGAAAUUAGGGGUUUAGACAUUCUUU
rnacentral:lncRNA from 1 species